rnacentral:rRNA from 1 species
AGUCGAGCGGGCGAGGUUGCUUCGGUAACUGAGCUAGCGGCGGACGGGUGAGUAGUGCUUAGGAAUCUGCCUAUUAGUGGGGGACAACAUCUCGAAAGGGAUGCUAAUACCGCAUACGUCCUACGGGAGAAAGCAGGGGACCUUCGGGCCUUGCGCUAAUAGAUGAGCCUAAGUCGGAUUAGCUAGUUGGUGGGGUAAAGGCCUACCAAGGCGACGAUCUGUAGCGGGUCUGAGAGGAUGAUCCGCCACACUGGGACUGAGACACGGCCCAGACUCCUACGGGAGGCAGCAGUGGGGAAUAUUGGACAAUGGGGGGAACCCUGGUCCAGCCAUGCCGCGUGUGUGAAGAAGGCCUUUUGGUUGUAAAGCACUUUAAGCGAGGAGGAGGCUACCGAGAUUAAUACUCUUGGAUAGUGGACGUUACUCGCAGAAUAAGCACCGGCUAACUCUGUGCCGGCAGCCGCGGUAAUACAGAGGGUGCAAGCGUUAAUCGGAUUUACUGGGCGUAAAGCGCGCGUAGGUGGCCAAUUAAGUCAAAUGUGAAAUCCCCGAGCUUAACUUGGGAAUUGCAUUCGAUACUGGUUGGCUAGAGUAUGGGAGAGGAUUGGUAGAAUUCCAGGUGUAGCGGUGAAAUGCGUAGAGAUCUGGAGGAAUACCGAUGGCGAAGGCAGCCAUCUGGCCUAAUACUGACACUGAGGUGCGAAAGCAUGGGGAGCAAACAGGA